AAUAGUUUGUUGCCCAAUUCAGUAACUGAGCAGACACAGGUUUGAUCCACAAUGAUAGCAUCUUGCUUAUUUUAUUUUAUUUUCAUUUCUUCUUCACCAGAACAAAACGACGAGGCUUGAUAAGAGUGUCUUAUGUGAUCAAUGACAUCGUCAUGUCAUCGUCUUUAUUGUCCUCUUUCCUUUUUCGAGUGUGACUUUUUUUCCGGCGACAUGCUUUGCGUCCACUUCGUUCUUAACCCUGUUUUUGCUUUUCCAAACUCACUGAAAUCGAUUAUCGUAAACUACCAGAUUUUUGGAGCUCGGGGACUCCCUCGAUUCAUUCGGUGUCCUCAAGGGUAAGGAAAUUUUGCUCUUUCAGUCAUUUCGUGAAGUUUCUCCGAUGUGGUGAGCAAACUACUGAUUCGUUUUCGAUCUAACAAUUUCUAGAAUCUUUUUUCGGGUGCCAUCGACCUCUGCCUCCGACAAUGGAGGAUCUGUAACCUCCCUAGCUCCAGGUCCGCCCUCGUCCUCCAGCACGUUUAAUUAGUUUCAUACAGAUGGUGGUGGUGGUCUUCUUUUUUUGAUUUCAGUUUGUUUGAAAUAAGAUUCGACGAAUUAAACGUCUCGCCGGAAUUCUAUCUAUGCUCGCCGGUUUCUGGGACCAGUGUAGAAGAUGACUUGGGAAAAUGUUUAUGACAGCCCCUGGAGAUUUCACUGAUCACAUUUUGGUCAACAGACUUUUAGUAAUUCUAUUGAAAUCCUACAGUUCUAGAAAUCAGGUUUCGAGUACAAAACUGUUAGAAUCAGACAGUUCAGACAUCACCUGUCCCUUAUUUUUUGUCUGUGGGCAGUAACUUUAUGAUUUUGACAGAACAUACCCAAAUAGCUUUCUAAAUAGUAUAAUUUAGUACGGAAUCCAAUUAACUCAUUAAUCGUCAAUUAAUUUAGACCUAUAAUUUUUUCCUAAUAGUUUCAAGGCGGUAAUAAAUUAAAAAUAGAUUAUUAAAAUUAUACCAGCAUGAUUAAGUAAAUUUUGACUAUGAAUAAAGUUUUUAAUUUUUUGAUCAAAUGUAUGCACUAUAUAUAAAACAUAACGAGAAAUCAACUGUACAAAAUUAGAAGGAAGAACCUAGACCGAAAAGGUAAAAUAAAAGAUAAAAAACCCCUAUAAGGACACCUACAUUUCCACUGUAAAAACUACAGCAGACAUUAUACUACCCAUCAUAAAAAACAACAAAGCGAUCAUCCAUGAAAAAAAGAACACACUCAAAGCCACACAAAAAAAACAAAAUCCUACAACCCAAGCAAUAAAAAAAAUCAGUUGGAUCAUUGAUAUGAUUAUUUCAUCUAACAAUUUUUGUCUCUGAGAACAAACCAGUAACAAAAAGCCACCUACCAACAUCAGUCAAGAUCUUAACCACAAUUCUCCUAACCGAACUCACUCGGUCCUUGAAAAUCCUAUUGUUUCUUUCGAUCCAUGGACACCAAAACAUUGCCGGCAUAAGAACCUUCGUAGCAUCAUGGAAAGUCGCAACACAGUUCAUACCUUUCCAAGCCGACACAAACUCCUGAAUGCUAUUCAGAAUCAGUUCAUACCUCAAUUGUGAUUUAAUUGAGUUAGGUUAGUAAUCUAAGAUUGAAACAAGGUGUGUGUGGACCAAGACACAACCCAAUUCAACCUUUAGUGUAAGGAUUUCCUUAGCGAUAUUUCAUCGAACACUUAGAGUGCAUUCCAUUAAUCACUUAGGUAGUGACCAAACUUGAGUGAUUGGGACGUUUGGUGUGUCAUAUGGUGACUAGCGCUCUUCGUGUUUGUGGUGUCAUUAAGGCUUUCUAAGCAACUUGGCAUUUCAUCGAACACCAUGUGUUCACUACCAAUUGACUUGAUUACUUGUGAAUUGGCAGUGGUAAUCCAUUACAAGACCUUGUCUUAGAUUUCUUCAAGUGCCUAGAGUAGUAUCGAAUCAUAAAUCGUGUCCAAAGUGUCCAAUUUCUUCGAUGAGUCAGAUUUGAGCAUAUUCAAACACUCGAAGUCUAGCAACCCUCCUUUCUUUCUUUGACCUUCUCACUCUUUUCUUUUGUUUAGUUUGAUUGCUUUGAAUUGCUUUGAUAAAUUUAGUGAAUGCUUAGUAAUUUAGUUGGUAACUUUGGAAACUAGUUUAAACCGUGUCUGUAAACGUUAAGUAGAAGCUAGUGAACCUAUCCUCCUGACAUAAGACACUUGUAAUUAGGAAUUGGGUCCACACCCUUUUUCUUGGUGAUCAGAAGGGACACAUUUAGUAGUUUAAGAUCUCCUUGAACACACAACCCACCAUUCUAUCUAGGGGUCUUAACCAAAUUCCAAUCCACUAGUGUAUUUUGUCUAUGUCCGUGUUACCGGCCCAAAGAAAUCGGGUUUGAAUCCUUUCCAGCCGACCAAUAAUCUUUGCGAGGGCUUUGAAGACAGAUAAUUAGUAGACAUGCAAACUAGACAACACACCCUUGAGGAGAGUAAUCCUAGCUCCAAAACACAGAAGCUUAUCUUUCCAACUCUCAACUUUUUGCUUAAGAUUUUCCACCAUAGGAUCCCAAAUCAAUCCCUAACACAAUCAAGACCCAAAACGAAGGCUAAGAUAAGUGAAAUGAAGAUAGUCUGAGUUACAUCCAAAGGUAGCAGCCAGAACACUCGCAUCAUCCACAAUCCAACCGUGUACAUGGGAAGACUUAUCCAGGUCAACUUUAAGACUAGUGAUGCUCUCAAAGCAAAUCAAAACAGCCAUGAUGUACCGCACUUGAGAAACAGAAGCUUCAUUGAAUAGCAACGCAUCAUUGCAUAAAAGUAUGGGUGACCUGAUUAAAGGUUUUAAAGAUUAGACGAAACGAGCAAUCAAGAAAAUCGAACGUAACCCUAAUCGAGCAAAAAAAUUAACAAAAGGUAAAGCAAGAACACACAGAUCUGUUCACGCAGUUGAGGUCACAAAUACCCUAAUCUGCAGAGCCUCUGGAGGGGGAGACUCACCCUUGAAUCCACUAAAAUGAAGUAGAAGUACAACCAGAUACAAUGAUUACAAUAGCAAAGCAGAGCAAGAAGCAUACGAAGGAAAAACAGUUACAGAAACUAGAUCAAGGGAAGAGCACAACUCUAUUACACGAUUGAAGCGACGACAAAAGCUUUAACAUCAAUCGAGGAUCUUCACCGAUUGAUUCCAAGAACAACCCUAGAAGUCUCCAUAGCUUAUAGAGAGCAUUUUGAAUCCCUUCUCUCAUUUAUACUUAUCAUUAAUUCCAGAUGAAGAGACUAAGUAGUCAAGUCACCCUUUAAUGCACAACGUAGAAUCUCAAUUGUAAGUGGAGUAGAGUUGGGUCGACCCAGUCGGUCACAUUCUGAUCCAACCGUGAGCGGGCAGGGAGGUGGUCAGGCCGGUUGAACCUGGGUCACAAAUAACAUUGACCAUUUUGUAGCUGCUCGUUCAUACAGUAGCCAUUAAUCAAACCCCGAUAUGAAGUUUGGUGAAAAUUCUUGACAAAAGCUCCAUAACACCAAUGAAAAGAAAGGGGGACAACAAAUAUCCUUGCAGUAAACCUCUGCUGCUCCAGACGUAGCAUGCCGCCUCACCGUUAACAAGAAUUGAGAAAGACAUCAUCGUAACACAGCACUCAAGCCACCCAAUCUACUUGUCAGAGAAACCCAUCCUAUUCAAGACUCUGAACAGCCACUUCCAAUUAACAUUAUCAUACGCUUUUAGAUAAAAAGCUUUAGAAUCAACCCUAGGAGACCAAUCUUAACUCUAGAAUCCACCACUUCGCCAACUUGUGGGAGGCUAUCAAAUGAGAAGCAACAGACCAACAAUGGCCUGAAGCUCGAGGAGGAAGGUGAUGAAGAAUCGGACGAUGAAGACAAUGAAUUAAGUGACCAAGUUGUCAAUAAGUAAAAGUUGAGUGAUCAAUGUGUAACGCGAGUUGAGUGUUUUAAAUAGAACUGUGUCGUUUUGUUUUGGUGAGACGGAUGACUGCCACGUGUCGCAGUCAUACCUCUAUUCUUACCGUUUAAUUAGUUACCAUACAGUAAAACUGGAAGCUGAGUGUAUAAGUACAGAAAUGGAGAAAUGAAAGAACUCAACGAUUUCCAGCAAACAUUUCAGCACCUCUUCUUCCUUUCUCUCUCCCUCUCGCUCAAUCGAGCUCAUCUGAAAGGUCAGAAGGAAUAAUGAUGAAGAAAACUUUUCCAUUUUGACAGGGCUCAUAGAUUUUCACAAUCGGAGACCCAUCUAAAUGAAACUUCGUGACAAAUAUUGUCCUCCAGCGGGCCUCUUUCUUGCAAACCAGAUGAAAACGACCACCCUAAUCCGGUAACCACCUUCAACACUCAUUCCAGCCAUUUCAAAUAUAGAGAAUCCAUAAGUAAAAAGGCUGCGAACCAUCUUGCACAAGCUCAAGCUUGAAAUCUGACCCAAACUUUCCAUUCUACUCUUUGUGACGGGCCUACCCGUGUCAAUUCGUUUGGGCUAAUUAUGGGUAGAUAUAUUAUUAUUAUUUCAAUUAGACUAUUAUAAUUUCAGUUAGAUAGAUAGAUUAUUUCGGUUAUCGCUAUUGUUCGAUUAGUAGUUUUGAUUUUGUAAAUAAGAUCUAUUUAUGCACGUUGUCAGUUGAGGAAAAAGGGUAGAACCCUAAUAAAACUACUCUUCUUAUUUAACUUUCUCUUCUACAUCUAACUCUAUUCUUCUCUGUAUCAAUUCCUUCCAUGAUUCUUCCUUCCUAUUCAAUCUAUUUCUUCCUCUCCUUCUAUCAAAUCCCCUCUUUUCGUCAGAUAAAUCCAUCAUAAUAAAAAAAACUCACUUCACAACAAUCCCAAUCCAAUUACCAUAACUCGUUUUACUUCUCUCGAUGAGGCCACCACAUCUCGACAUUUGGAACCCCUCGAAGAUAUUUGGGAAGAUAGACGUUGGAGGAGACCCGAGCCCGUGAUCACGCACUCAAAUUAGGCACGUGACAGCUUGGUAUCAGAGCCCGGUUCCGCCACUAUCCGUAGCGACUCUGAGAUGGAAUAAGAACAGAUGCAGAAAAUGGAGACAUCAAUCGAAGAUCUUCGACAUAUGAUGACCACUUCGAUGCAGUUUCAAGAGCGAGAGCUAGAGCUGGGAGUGUGGCUAGAAGCUCGGCUGAUUGAGAUCUAAGAAAGCGUCAACGUUGUCAUCGGGAGAGUCGAGAGGCUCGAGUGGCAGCAGCCCGAAAUCUUAGUCAAUCCGCAGGGUGGGCGACAAGAUCCUCCAAACAGGGGAAUGGCUCCGGGAGUGAAGAUCGAUUUUCCAAAAUUCACGUUGGGAGACGACCCAACAACCUGGAUUUGUCAAGCUGAACAAUUUUUUAAGUUCUAUCAAACUCUUGAACAACACCGUGCUACUAAUAGUUUCAUUUUAAAAAUAAAACAUCGGAUUAAUAAUAGGGGUGCUACGCUAUUUAUAUCAUUUAAUGUUUUAAACUCCUCCAAUUAAUUUCUUCAUCAUAAUCUAGGAUUUUGUUUAUACGUAUUCAUAUAAUUAAUCCGUCAACACAGAAACUGCUAUAUGAAGGACACAUAUUCCAGAAGUCCAGGAGGACACAUAUACAUAUAGAACAGAAGUCUCGAGCUUCACAGGUUCAGACCAGAGUAACCAUAUACCCGCCCUUAAGGCCACUAUAUUUUACAAUACCAUAUCUCACAUUAUUCUAGUACACAACCACUCAUAGCAUAUGCACUUAAUGAGAGUAAGAGUCUCAAACGUGUUUUAAAACACAAAACGAGGAUCAAUACACAAUAUUCGAUAUCUACCUAGUGUCGUCACCAUGAUGGCCCCACCCCGGAGCUCGAUGAUACCAUUUUGCAGAUUUGUAGUGUGUGAACUAGUAAAGCCUACUAUCGCUCUGAAAUGGAAAGUAAGGGUCAGUGCUAAUCACCGAGUGAGGCUCUCUGUCCUAGUCACUCUAAAGUACAUAUAAUCAUAUAGAAAGUAUAUAGCAUAUAACACAUAAGGCUAGUUCUAUAAUCUAAUUCAUAUACAUAUUUUAUUUGGGAUCCCGGCUCACAUAUGCUGACAACCCACGUAGAGUCAGUGGCACUAAAUGGCCCACGUAGAGUUAGUGUGGCGUUUAUCAAAACCCACGACAAUAGUUAGUUGUGGCGCUUACCAAGGCUCACCGCGUAACAGAAGUGCAAUAAGCGCUAUCGCCAGCAUAUGAGCACUAACUAGGUGAUCAAUCAAUUACAGGAUUUAUUAACUAAUCAGUAAGAGCUACUGCUCAGAUUAACACAUAUAUCAAAUCAGACAUAUCAUCAAAGUAAUAGAACGUGUAUCAUAUUAAGUAAUAAAUAUGGUAAAGAAGUAUAUAUAAUCUUAGGAUUAAACAUACAUUAUCCUAUCAUGCAUAUAGCCUUCAAUAAUAAUAGACUCAUAAUGGAAAGUCUAACCCGGUCGGAUACUCAAGAGACCCUCACCAGAAAUAAUCCUCAAAAACCCCUAUAUCAGCUUCCGAGUUACCACCUUAAUUCCGACAACAGAGUAUUACUGCUAAUUCCUCCAAGUCUCAUUUAUGCAAGAGACUACUCUCUGUGCUCAUAAUGUUGAACUAAAUAAGAAGACCUUUUUAUAGUAGAUAUAAAACAUAUAAAUCCAAUUUGCUAAUUAACCUACUUUAUCCAUUUGGCUUACGUGAUCAUGCAUGAAUCUGUACAUGCAUGCAUUAGGAGGAAAAAAUAUUGGAUGGGGAGACUCCAACUCAAGCUUACCAUGUGCAUGGCUGGAUAAAAAAUCUAUCUGUGCAUAUCCAUAUCUGUAUGAGAAUUAUUCUUGUAUUUGUACAUUACCACAUACCACAUUAAUUUAGUUGGUACUUUUGGUACGAUCGGCCAGAAUGUUAUCAUUUCUGGAAACUUUUACAUUAAUAUUUUCGUAUUAGGAUCAGAAUAUUACAUAUGCUUCAAUUGUGACAAGGAAUUUGCUCCGGAUUACCAUUGUAAGAAGCUCUUUUUGAUCAAACUAUUGGACGAAGAGGAAGGUGAAGUUCAAGAGCAGAAUGAAGAAGGACCCAUGCAUGUAAUAUCCAUGGCAGCUGCAUGGGGAUUGGAAGCAAGAGAGACUAUGAGGGUGUGGGGAACCUUGAGAGGAAAGAUAGUGAGGGUGUUGAUAGAUAGCGGGAGCACGCACAAAUUCAUCAACACUCGAAUUAUUGAUAAGAUGGGGUUGAUACCGGAGAAUGGGACAUGAGUAUCGCUAAUGGUAGGUAACGGAGAGAAGGUUCAAAGUCCCAGGCGAUGUUCAAUAGUUGCAGUCUUCCUACCAGGCAUGAGCUUUAUGGAGGGCUUUCAUUUGCUGAAUAUGGGAGGAUAUGAUGUGAUUUUAGGUACAAUUUGGUUACGACGGUUGGGAGAAAUUAAGUAUGGCUUCCAGGAUUUGGUGAUGUAAUUCGAAUGGCGGGGAAUACAGUGUGUGCUUCAUGGGAUCAGCACGACGCCCUGCAGAGAAGUUUAUGUGCAUGAAUGGGCUGGGAAGCGAGGCGAGUCGGAGAGGGAUACGUCUUAUACAUGAUGACUAGAGAGGAAUACGACAAGACUCCUCAUAUAAACAACGACGACUUGAGUUGCGUGGAAAAAGAACUACUUCAGGAGUACGAGGAUCUAUUUCAAGAACCAACUCAACUACCACCAGACCGCAACCACGAGCACCAUAUCCACAUGCAACCUGGGAGUACGCCGGUAAACCAUCAACCGUACGGACACCAACACUAACUUAAGGAAGAAAUCACUAACUGGGAGUGUUGCAUUCGUGCAAGUAAUGUUGGAAUGAGGAAUUGUAAGGCCAAGUCAAAGUCCAUACUCCUCGCCGGGUGUAAUGGUCAAUUAGCAAGAUUGAUCAUGGCAUUUGUAAGUUGACUACAGAGCUAUAAAUCAGGUAACAAUCAAGGACAAGUUUCCCAUUGCAGUGAUCGAUGAGUUAUUGGAUGAAUUGCGAGGCGCCUGAUAUUUCACCAAGUUCGAUCUUCGAUCUGGAUAUUAUCAAAUCCGGGUAGCGACCGACGACAUUCUGAAGACGGCUUUUUGUACUCAUCAAGGUCAUUAUGAAAGAGAUAUUCCGACCCCUGCUUUCAAACUUCGUAUUGGUAUUGAUGAAUGAGAUAUUCCGACCCCUGCUUUCAAAAUUCGUAUUAGUAUUUAUUGACGAUAUCUUGAUACAUAGCGCUGAUCCGAAACUCUACUUACCACAUUUGAGAGAAGUCUUCACAAUAUUACACCAGCAUCAAUUGUUUGUUAAAAGAGAAAAAUGCUCCUUUAUUCAAUAGUGAUCCGAUAUUUGGGUCAUGUAAUCUCCGAAUUGGGAGUAGCGGUGGAGCCUGAGAAGAUAUCAGACAUCGUGUGUCGACCCGUUCCGAAAAAUAUAAAAUCAUUACGAGGGUUCUUGGGAUUAACAGGCUAGUAUAGGAAAUUCAUAAGAGAUUACGGAAAGAUAGCGUCCCUGUUAACUAUGUUGCUAAAGAAAUGUGCUUUCUAAUGGAGCAACGAAGCACAAGUAGCCUUUCAAGAACUUAAGGCAGCGAUGAAGAAGGCUCCCGUCUUGGUCUUGCAGAUUUCAAUCGAGAAUUCAUAGUUGAGUGUUAUGCGAGUGGAGUGGGGCGAGAGUGGGAGCAGUACUUAUGCAGGAUCAAAGAGCUAUUGCUUAUUUCAGUUGAGCAUUGAGAGGUAAACAUCUAGCCCUCUCCACUUACGAGAAGGAAAUGUCGGCGUUAGUUUUGGCAAUUAAAAAGUGGCGGCCUUACCUCUAGGGGCGACGGUUCAUAGUUAGAAGCGACCAAUGCAGCUUGAAGUAUCUUCUCGAGCAGAAUAUAAUCACUCCUAUGCAAGAAAAGUGGGUAUCUAAACUACUCGGAUACGACUUUGUGAUCGAGUACAAGAAGGGAAGCGACAACGGGGCCGUAGACGCACUCUCUAGGUGGCAUGAGAUGAUGGCAGUUACCACCCCAAGUCGUAAAUUGGCUUAGUACCAUGUUGGAAGAAAUUGAGUCCUGUCCCACGUUGGGGAACUUCGGAACUCGAUGCUUAGAUGGCAAGCUCGAUGAAUCUUGGGAGGUUAAGGGUGGGGUUGUGUAAAGAAAGGAACGAAUAUAUUUGCAUGGAGAUUCAGAAUUGAUACCCACCGUAAUCGAGGAGAUGCAUGCUAGCCAGCAUGAAGGCUGCCAUGACGGAUUCACCUUUCGAAGAUGGGACACUUCAUAGGAUUGUCACACCCUUACACGGCGGAAUCGGUCGCAGGGCUUUUCUACCGGCAUGUGACAAAGCUGUAUGGAUUUCGAUCGGGAUCCCACUUUGACUACCUCAUUUUGGACUGAACUUUUUGGCCUCCAAGGAACUCAUUUCAACUUUAUCUCGACCUAUCACCCUAAAACUGAUGGAAAGAACGAAUUGGUGAACAUGACCUUGGAGAUGUACUUGCAUUGCGUUUCAGGAGAUCGGCCAAAAGAGUGGCAUAAGCGGCUUCCGUGGGCGGAAUUCUGUUACAACACCAGUUGGCACACUUUGACCAGGCACACCCUAUAUGAGGUAGUAUACGGAUGUCAACCUCCAACUCUUCUCUUGUACGUGCCUGGAGGUACAAAUCUAGCUGCUGUUGAGAUGGAAAUGUUUGACAUGGAUGAGGUGUUGAAGAAUGUUAGGAAGCGGAUGGCCCAAGCCCAAGAGAGAAUUGAAGAAAUAUUAUGACGUUAGACGAGCAGAGAAAGAGUUUAAAGUGGGUGACUGGGUGUAUAUAAAACUCUAGCCGUACCGGCAAAUAACAGCGAGUCAACAUCGAAAUUGACAAGUUAGGACCGCGAUUUUACGGACCCUACCAGGUGAUGGAGCGCAUCGGUAAGCUGGCCUAUCAGGUAGACCUUCCAGCGGACGCGAGGAUUCAUCAAGUGUUUCAUGUAUCCAACUUGAAGCUAGCUCGACGAAGUUCAGGGAGUCGCAACAGCGUUGCCAGCCACAUCUGACUAACCAGGUCCAACCCCGGUGGCGAUUCUUGGAUGAUGCUAGAAACGAGGGAAAGAAGAGGUCCUUGUUUAUUGGACGCACACCACACCGGGAAAUGCGACGUGGGAAGACUGGAACCAUCUACAAAUCCAAUUUCCGGAAAUUCUUGAGGACAAGAAUACUUUCGAGAGGGGUGGCAUGUGACUGGAUUGGCCACGUCAAUUUGUUUAGGCUCAUUAUGGAUAGAUAUAUUAUUAUUACUUCAGUUGGAUUAUUAUAAUUUCGGUUAGAUAGAUAGAUUAUUUUGGUUAUUGCUAUUGUUCGGUUAGUAAUUUUGAUUUCAUAAAAGAAGGGGUGUAUUUAUGCAGAUUGUCCAUUGAGGAAAAGAGAGGAGAACCCUAAUAAAACUACUCUUCUUAUUCACCUUUCUCUUCUACAUCUAACUCUCUGCUUCUUUGUACCAAUUCCUUCCACGAGUCUUCCUUCCUACUCAAUCUAUUUCUUCCUCUCCUUCUAUAACACGAUCCAAACUCGAACCCUCCCCCACCCGAAAAGAAAAACAAGUAAAAUCCACCCUCACUCUUUCUCUAAACUUAACUCCCUCUCAUAUUCUCUCUUCCUCACUUUUUUAGGUCAUAAUAAGUUAUAAAGUUUUCAAUUAAUUAUAAAAAUUGUAGUUCUUUUAAGUAUUUUCAGUUGGAAUUAAUUAAACCAUAAUAACCCAUUCUUACUAGUAUUAAUAUGAUUAUAAACUAAUAAUAUACUUUAAUAUAAUUUUAAUAUGUUUAGGAAAAUGUAGAUUGAUUAGUAGUUAAUGGGCGAAAGUGCUAAUGGUCCAAUGGGCCCAAUUUUUUGGACCGUCCAAAUUUAGUUUUGCCAAUUUCAAUUUAACCGUUGGAAUAUUACCAAAGAUAUAAGGAGAAUUAAAAAAAUAUUUUUUCUUUUUCAGUUUUUUUUUUCUCCUCUCUUUCUUCUCUUCUCACAUAAACUAGAUAUAAUAAUGACAUAACAUUGAUACUAUAAUAACGUAACAUGGAUAUAACAAUUUACAUAUAACAUGGACAUAGCAAUGAUGUAAUAAUGACGUAACGGGGACAUAAUAAAAACGCAUAGCAAACUCGUAAAGUGUAUAUAUCACCGACAUAAAAGAGUGGUAAACUAGACAUACCGAUGAUGAAUUUCACUACUCUCAAGGUUGACGAAGUGUAUAUAUCACCGACAUAAAAGAGUGGUAAACUAGACAUACCGAUGAUGAAUUUCACUACUCUUAAGGUUGACGUAACAACGACAUAACGAGCUUGUAACAUGGUUGUAUUAGCGACAUAACAUGCUCGUACAAUGACCACGACUAUGUGACUAUUUCCAAUUUUUUUGUUCCGAAACUACCCUCCACUCAAGUCAAUUCGUUUGAAUCAUUUUCGGCCAUUGGAUGAAACUUGACCGAAAAUUGCCUGAUCCAACGGCCAGAAUCUGUCAGGACGAUUUCGCAGGACGAAUCUCUCAGAUCAUUAGUCUGGUUGGUUAUUGGGGAUGAUUUAUUCUAAGUAAUAAUUAGAAAUUUUUCUUAUAAGUUUGUAAAUUAAAUAGAAUCCUUAUGAGAUUCUGGAUGUUCCUAAAGCUUGUCAAAAUCUUCUUUCGAUAAGUGCUCUGACCCGUGAUAAUUAUCUUUCCAUCUCGUUCUUUUAUGAUUGAUUGUUUAUUCAGAACUUAACAUCACGCCAUCUUGUCUCUAUCCCAUCCCGAUGUCAGUGCUCCAUCCCAACCGUAGUUUUGCUCAAAAAAAUUCGGUCACUUUGGCUCAAUGGUACCAAAGAUUAGGUCAUGCCAAUUUAGAUAAUGUUAAGUAUAUUUUAAGACGCUUUUCUUUGCCUUUUCCCAAUAAGCGGUUGAAUUCUAUUUGUUAUGAUUAUUGUGUAGGCAAGAUACAUAAAUAAUUUUUUUCCUAUUUCCUCUUAUCAAGCGCCCGGAUCAUUAGAUUUGAUUUAUAGUGUUGUUUGGGAACCUUCCCCAGUUAAAUCUAUUGAUAAACAACGUUAUUAUAUUCUAUUUUAUGAUCAAUAUAACAAAUAUAGUUUGAUCUAUUUUGUCAGUUUAUGUUUUUAUUCAUUUUUGUUUCGUGGUUGAAACUUAUUUUGCUAUGUUGAUUCUCACCUUUCGUAUUGAUUGGGAUGGUGAAUAUCAAAGACUUCUUUAUUACUUGAAAAAACAUGUCAUCGUUUUCCAGCGAUCGUAUCCUCAUACUCACAAACAAAACAUAUAUGUUGAACGGAAGCAUCGUCACAUAACCAAAAUUGACAGGACUUUGAUUCAUCAAACGUAUAUUCCUCUCAAAUACUAAACAUAUGCCUUUAGCGUCCUAACAUAUCUCAUAAAUAACCUUCAUUCGCCCCCUCUUAAUUUUGUGAUUCCAUAUACUGCUUUGUUUAAUUCUGUCUCAGAUUAGGAAAUGCUCAAAGUUUUUGGUUACCUUUGUUUUCCAUGGUUAAAGCUCGACACUCCUCAUAAACUUGCUCCUAACUCUGUUCCAUUUGUUUUCCUUGGUUAUACUAUCGAGCAUCAAGGCUAUUAUCUUCUUAAGUUUAUUCUUUCAACGUCCAAGUUUGUAGACAUGUGAUGUUUGAUGAAUCUACCUUCAUAUUUCAGGUACCCGCGUUUGCUCAGAGUGCCAUCCACAACUCAAUCAACUACCAACUUCAAAAUCCUUACUUUAUCAUCAUCCAUAAUUAUUCAAAAUCCUUACUUUAUCAUCAUCCAUAAUUAUUCAAAAUCCUUACUUUAUCAUCAUCCAUAAUUAUUCCCGACCCCUCACUCAACCCCACCUCCGCACCCAUCACCUUACCAACUCCACAGCCUCCAAGCCCACCACUCUCAACCCCCACAUCUUCCGUCCACCCUACUCCUACAAAUCACACAUCCACAACUGCCACUGAUCCACCUACCAACCCAGUCAACCCGCUGUGGAUGGUGACCCACUCACAAGUUGGCACAUUUUUUGCACGAACAUUCGCUACUAGUACUAACAAUGCGACCUUUGAGCCAACUUGUUUCCCUAAGGCAAAUAAGUAUGAGCAUUGGCGAUGGAAAUGCGUAGUGAACUUGGGGCUCUAUUACUAAACUACCUUAGGAUCUCGUACCUACAUCAACGGGUAUACAAAAUUAAUCGCAAUCCCGACGGAUCCGUCUCUCCUUACAAAGCACGCGUUGUUGCAAAAGGCAAUCAUCUACAAGAAGGCCUUGACUUUAAUGAGAAGUUUAGCCUAAUCGUCAAACCCACAUCUAUUCGAAUUAUUCUCUCCAUGGUCGUCUCUCACAUUUGGCCCCUUAACCAGUUAGUGUUCUCCAACGCUUUUCACCAACCACCGGGUUUUUGUUGAUCCACUCAGGGCCAAUCAUGUUUGUCGACUAAAAAAGGCUUUAUAUGGUUGCCGACAAGCUCUGCAAGAAUGGUUUUCUUGUCUACGAGAUGCUUUCAUCACUCGUCUUGGCUUUUAAGGUUCGAAAAUGGACACUUAUUUUCUUUAAUACUACUAAUGUCGCACUUAUGUUUGUCCUUGUCUAUAUAUAUGACAUCAUUAUAAUUGGUGCUUUCUCCGACUCGAUUAAUUCUGUCAUGAAUCAACUCGUCGGAUGGUUUCAACUCAAAGACCUUGGAGCUCUCUCUUAUUUUCUUGGUAUCAAAGUUCAGCGCGUCACUUCUGGUCUUCAUUUGUCACACACUAAAUACAUUCAAGAUUUACUUCACAAGGCCGGUCUCUACACCGCCCAGCCUUUGUUGUUGUUGUUUUCAAAGUCGCUGCCAUGGGAGGACUCACCUUUCGGUCGCCCAAUAUUUUUCCGUCAACAUAUGCCUUUUUUCAUUAUCAUUCGGAAGAAUGAGAGAGAGUGGGAGUUUAGAGCGAGAGUGGGUGAGGGGGCGGGGGGUUGGGGUAGGUAGGGAUCGAAGCGGCAAAGCUCUUAGAAUUCUAGACUCUACUGUCUUCAUCCAGAAGAAAAAUGGUUUUGCCGGAGGGAACUUCCAAGUGACGGUGGCAGACUCCAAGAGGUCCUUUUUCAUAGUCUUGGCAAAUUCCCAUCUGAAGUGGUUGGUUGACACGAUGCAGGUAGCAGCUGCCCAGCGUUGGCGAUUUCCGCUUCACUGCGAGCGGGAGUGCAAAAGGAUCCUCGCUGUAGGCUGUAUAUGGAGAAACGGGAAGAGGUGGUUGUGUCUUUCUGAAUCAUGUAGCAAUGGCAUAUACUAUUUCAUCAAGAUUCCCGUUGAACCUUUCUCUGAUGGAUGGCUCAAUCUACUAAAGUUUUUUGGAGGUAUGUUAGAGCGGCCUGAUAUCUCUCAUCGGGAGGUAGUCAGAAGGUCCUAUGCUGCGGUGAUUCGACCUAAGACCUUCACGGAUGAAGGAGACUGUAAGAUUUCUAUCUCGGGUGGGGUCCAGUCAGUCAUGGUCGCUGAUAUUGGUGUGACUGAUCGUGAGGCAUAUCUUGAUUGUUGUUUGGUGUUCCGAUUGUCUGGGGCCUCUCUCUCAGCGGCGGACUGGCUCCUCUUUUACGAUUGGGCUCAGAAAACUUGGGGAGUGCUCAUAGAGGACAUAAUUAUUUUGGAGGAUGGGCUAUGGAUGGUUAAGCUUCCGACGAAAGACGAUAUCUCAAGAAUCAUGAAUAUCAGAAGAUGGAAAUUUAGAGAUAGAAAUAUUGCUGCUGAUGGAUGGUGCAAGUGGGCUGGACGGUCGAACAUAGAAGCUAAGGCGGGUUUGGUUUGGCUAAGGAUUAUUGGCUUGCCACUACAUUUGCGCUCGUCUUCCUUAUUUAGACAGCUGGGAAAUUGUUGCGGCAAUUUUCUCGAAUACAACUUGGAGGGAUGUUCCUACAACACAGUUAGGGUGAAGGUUAAGGCUUUGAAUACUAUCCCAUGUCGAAUCCCUGUAACCUUCAAUGGAGACUGCUUCUCCGUGCAGGUGGUGGUUGAAAGCGGAGAUGAUUUCAUCGACGGUUGGAAAGGUACAUGCCCAGAUGUGUAUGUGCGAUAUCUGGCAAGUCGAACAAGGUGGACGGGUUUGGGUCGAUUGGUUGAUGGGCUGAAAGGCGUAGAAACGGCUCAAGCAACAGAUGGUGGGAUGGGAAAGAGCGCCGAAAUGACAGAAGGUGACCACUCAAAGACACAGAUGGAAGUAAUUAGAGCCUCCGAGUUUGAGGACAUGCGUUUGAAGAUUGACAGUGAGAAAAUCUCUGACACAGAUCUUGAAGAAGGCGAGUUUAUACAAAGUGAAAAAGUUGGAGAAGCCUUUUACUCAGAAGGGAAAGUUUCAGUCUCUAUGAAGGUGGCUGGUGAGGUGCGGAACAAAGCGGACAGAGAAAGGUCUAUGGAUGGGGCCACCACGGCAAGGGUGGAAGAUCUUCUUGUGGUAGAUGGAGUUCUUAAAGAUAAUGGGCCAACUGAGCAUGUGCACAGUCCGAUUGGGCCUGCCUCAGAAGCUGAAAGGCUGCAAUUUUGGCCUUUCUCUCGAAGAGAUCCAUCUCAGUCAAAAGAGACUUUAGAUUUGGGCUUCAGUAUUGGGCUUUGCUCUGAAAAGGCUGUUGGUAAUGAGUGGGCCGCAGGAAAGUUUUGAGUCUUCUCAGUCUGUUGGGCCGGUUGAGCUUUCUAGAGACUGCCCAACUUUGAGAUUCCAAGAGGAACAUUUUUUUGAAGAACUUCGAAGAAGCAGGAGCGACUCCCUAUCAGAUGAUGAUUUCAGAGAAGCAGAAAUUGAAGACUCCACUUCUGAGUGGGAGAGCAGCAUCGAGGGGGAAGCAACGAAUUCAAAAAAAUACAAAGAAUCAACAAUUCAUAUGAGGAUGCGGUUAUCAACAUGAGUAUGCUCAUUUCAGAAAAAUUGGAGCUGGAAAUCAAUGGAUCACGUUCAGAUGCAGAUGAUGUUGUAACAGACGUGGCUAAACAAUUAUUUGCUAAGAGGAAGAAAGCCAAUCAUUCAUCCACAAAGGAGAGAGAAUGACCCCGACGCAAAAAAAAGGUUAGUCUAAAAUGCCGUAAAUCCCAAUGAUUGUUAAAAACUUAAGUUGGAACGUACGUGGUUUAGGAGAUGACCGUAAGAAAUAUAGAGUACGGGAUCUUAUCGCACAAUGGAAACCAAAUAUUCUUUGUCUUCAGGAAACAAAAUGGUCGUUAUGUCUUGAUUUAGACGUGUUCUUCCUUUGGGGCUCUAGGCAUGUUGAAUGGGUCUCUAAAGAUUCGGAAGGAGCUUCAGGUGGUUUGUUGACUGCUUGGGACCCCUCUAAGUUCAGAAUUUGUGCACAAUGGGUUGGAAGGUUUGCGAUUGUGGUUGUUUUAGAGUCUAUACGAGACGAUUUUCAAUGGUGUUUGGUGAACUGUUACGGCCCCUGUGACAGGAAUCUGAAACUGGACUUCAUUAAUGAGCUGAAAGCUUUUUCUCAAUGGUGGAUGAUGCCAGUCUGUGUUAUGGGUGAUUUCAAACUUGUGAGAUCUUUGGAGGAAACUAAAGGAGGUGGUGGGAGUAGACUAGAGAUGGACCUGCUCAAUAACCUAUAGCUGAAUUGGAAUGGGUGGAUCUCCCUCUCUGUGGGGGACGAUAUACUUGGAAAAACUUUCAUGAACAACCUAUUAUGUCUAGAUUAGAUAGAGCUCUUGUCUCUGGAGAUUGGGAGACGCAUUUUCCCGACUGUAAGGUUAAUGUGUUUCCUAGAGUUUGCUCUGACCAUAACCCUCUUCUACUCACUACUGGUUGGGAAGCAUUUAUUAAAAGGCCAUGGCUCUUUGAAUUAAUGUGGAUGAAACAUCCUGAGUUUCAAAACUUUUUGCAAACAAUUUGGGAGGAUAACAUCACGGGGUCAGGAGGUAUGUUCCGGCUACCUCUUAGGCUAAAGUAUAUCAAAGACAAGCUUAAAACAUGGAACAAGGAUGUGUUUAAGUGUAAUGAAGCGGAGAUUGAUAAGGGGUUAGAAACCAUCAAUAAUCUUGAUAGACAAAAGGAAAGUGGAAUUUGGAGUGAGGACCUCAGAUUUCAGCGAUGUUUUCUGAAACUUGAACUGGACAAGUUGUGGAAGAGACAAGAAAUCAGCUGGAGACAGAAAUCUAGAGAUUGACAUCUAAAGUUGGGGGAUCGAAACACGACUUAUUUUCACAAAAUUGCUAGCCAAAACAGGAGGAGGAAUUGGGUGGAUAGGAUUGCCAUCGGUGAGGAGGUUUAUGAGGGACAUGAGGCAGUGGCUCAUGCAAUUGUGAACUUUUAUAAUAAUUUAUACACUGAGGAGGUAGAAGUUCGCCCUUUUCCUGAGAUCACAACUUGGGACAUCAUUACUUCUGAGGCAAGCAAUUUCCUCACCAAAAAGUUUUCAAUGGAAGAAAUUAAAAGGGCUGUGAUGAAUUGCCCCGGUGAUAAGGCACCAGGUCCUGAUGGCUUCAACAUGGAUUUCUUUAAACAUAAUUGGGAGAUUGUGAAAGAGCAGGUAAAACAGGCUUUUGGUGAUUUUUACACUAGAUCUAUCAUCCCAGAUAUGGUUAAUUGCACUUUUGUUUGUCUGAUCCCUAAGAAAGAGAUGGUUGAAGAGGUGAAGGAUUUUUGGCCCAUAAGUCUAACUACUAGUGUGUACAAAAUGAUAUCAAAGGUUCUUAUGGAACGACUUAGAAACAUCAUGCCCUCUCUCAUCUCUAAACAUCAGUGUGCUUUUGUUCAUGGUCGUCAGAUCCUGGAUGCUUCCUUGAUCGCAAAUGAGUUGAUCGAUUCAAGGAUCAAGAGUGGAAGGCCAGGUUUAGUUAUCAAACUUGAUAUCGAAAAAGCUUUCGAUCAUGUUAAUUGGAAUUUUCUGCUUCACAUUCUCCAUGAUCGUGGAUUUUCUACAAAAUGGAUUCAAUGGGUUCAGAGAUGCAUUGCUUCGACCUUCUCUAUUCUAGUAAAUGGGGAGGCCUCAAGCUUUUUCAAAAGCUCGAGGGGUCUUCGACAAGGCGAUUCACUAUCUCCAUUCCUUUUCAUCCUUGUCAUGGACGUUCUUACAACCAUUUUCAAUGUUCUACAGGAUAGUCUCGACCUUGCAGGCUUUUUUAUGAAUGAUACUAGAAGGGAGGGUGAGGUUACUCAUUUGUUAUAUGCCGAUGACACCAUUAUGUUCUGUGAGGCUUCUAUAGGGCAAGCUAGGGCCAUUCUUGGUGCUCUUAUUGUUUUUCAGACAAUUAUCGGGCUCAAGGUCAAUCUUAGUAAGUGCAGUGUUUGCCCUGUUGGGCCGGUUGAUGACCCUCGGAUGUUUGCAGAUAUUAUGGGAUGCGAGAUCGAGAUAUUUUCCUACUCGUAACUCGGUCUGCCUCUCGGCUCAAGAGCUAUCAAUAGCUUGUUGUGGGAUCCUGUGAUCUCGAAGGUGCGAAAUAGACUUGAAACUUGGAAGGCUAGACACCUAUCUUUUGGAGGUCGCAUGGAGCGCAUAAAAAGUGUGUUGUCAAGUCUCCCGACGUACUUCCUGUUGGUCUUCCGUGCCCCUAUGAAGGUUAUCAAAAGCAUUGAAAGGAUCCAGAACUCUUUCUUGUGGAGUGGGAUGAGUGACACAAAAAAGUUUCAUAUGAUUAGUUGGGAAAAAGUAAAAGUCCCCAAAGAUCAGAGUGGAUUAGGCCUCACAGACCUUAGAUGCAUGAAUCAGGCUCUCCUCGGUAAAUGGAUAUGGAGAUUUGGAAUUGAAACAGAAGCUUGGUGGAGGGAACUCAUUAAGUUGAAGUUUGGCUUAGAAAGAGGUUCGGAAUGGUGGACGUUCUGUUCUGGAGUUUCUUCUGGUUGGUCUAUUUGGUUCUGGAUUUGGAAAGAGAGUUCGGCUUUUUGGGAGCUUGCUUUUGUCGAUCUGAGGGGAGAGGAAAGAGUGAGAUUUUGGCAUGAUAUUUGGGUCCGUGGGAAACACUUGGCGAGAGAUUUUCCGAGGGUUACGGCUGCUGCGCAAUCCUUAGACGCUUUUAUUACUGAUGUUUGUGUUUUUGGUGACAGGCUUCAUUGGAACAUUGAACUUACUCUUACCUUGCGUGGAGGUGCCCAUGAGGAGCUUAUGAGAAUUCACCAUAUGCUCAAUGACCUUCCCGAGGACACACUAUCGAAGGGACCUCCUUCCAUGAGAUGGGCUCCAGAUAUGAAGCAUGGAUUCACGGUCAAAUCAUUUAUGUCAAAGAUUUUGCUCACAAUGUUCCCCGGCAUUGCUCAGUUCCCGAAUGCCGCCAUUUGGAUCUCUUUGGCUCCAACAAGAGUUUGUUGUUUUGUGUGGCUAGCUAGUUUAAACUCCAUAACCACGAUUGAUAACCUCUAUCGACGCGGAAUCAUCGUCCCCAACAGAUGUGUGUUAUGUCGCCAUGCAGAGGAAACAGUCUCUCAUCUCCUGCUUCACUGUCGAUUCUCGUAUAAGGUAUGGAUGCAAUUUUGGCAAACUUUGGGCAACAUUGUUCUUUUUCCUCAUGAUGUGAUUGGUCUUAUUGAGGGAUGGACUGAAGGCCAAAACUAUAGAGGUUCUUGUAAAUUUAGAAAGGUGUUACACUUGGCGAUUUUGUGGUCAUUAUGGAUUGAGCGCAACAAUAGAAUUUUUUGAGAUAAAAGCUACUCAGCUUCACAGUUAGCUUGGAAAAUUGCGUUCAACACAGCUCGAUGGCUACAAGUCCAUAAUCAGGCUUCACAGGUGGAUUGUUCGAAGUGGUUGAACGGGAUUUUUCACCCGCCGUAGCUUGCAGAAUGUUCCUUUUUGCAUUUUGUUCGGCUGUUGCAGGUUUUGGGGUCUUUGCUCUUCGAGAAUCUCCAUUUUCUGCCUUCUUUUCUUCCCCAAGCUAACGCUAAUCAAGUAGAAGCUCUUGUUUUGAUCACGCUGUUGUCAUUUGACAGUGUUAUGAUUUUAUUGGUCCUUCUCCUGACAGGUUCUCAUCUUCUUCUUUUAUUUAUAUCCCACCUGCUUAAACAAAUAUGUGUCUGCUUUGCUUCUUUUUUAUGCUUUUGGUUUUGCUGUAAUUUCCAAGGGACCUUGCAAUUUGCAAGGCUUUUGGCAGGAACAGUUUGUACAUAUUCGUUAUUUAUAACCUCAGCUCAUUUAUCAAAAAUAUUUUUCCGUCAACAAAGUGGCGGUUUACAAUAUCUUCAGAUUAAACAGCAUGUUCAUGCUUACAUCAUGAACAAGUUAUCUCAAGCCAUGCACUAACCCAUGCAACCACAUUGGAUUCAGCUCAAACAUGUUCUUAUAUAUCUAUGUGGGACUCCAACUCACAGUACAAAAGUGUUAGUGUUGUACGUUUUUGCAUUGAUAAUCCCAUAAUAGACCAGAGCAUGAAACCAUCCAAAUCAUGUUAAGAAACAUCAAAGGCAUACUUAACACGCCACCAGAACAGAAACAAAUUGAAGCUAAGCCUAGGGGGUUGCAGAACCCGUGGGUGGGCAGCUAGCAUGCAUAUCACUACUACCUAGCCUAAUAAUGCUAAUACAGAAGUCAGAAUGUCAGUACAGCUUAUAGCUACUGAUCACAUGUAACAAAUGAGCAUCAAGCUCCAAAAUUGACAUUCAUGAUAGAUCUACGUUACUCAUUAAAAAGUGAGUGCACCGAAAAUUUUGGUAUAAACCAGAUAUACUGAAGAGUUCACACUGUUUAUCAGAAAUAUAAAUACCCUUCUGCCGUUAGAUCAAUCAAAGGCACAAACCCCUUAGAUCUAACGACUGAGAAACGUCAUAGACAUCCUAAAAUUAUUGAAAUCCUGUAUUUCAAACCUCUCUUAUUCCUAAGGGUCGUCACCUUUCAUCCUUUUUCAAAAAUGGGUAGUAAAUAGUAAUUUUUUGAUUUAAACCAAAACACACCUUCCAAAAUUAUCCAAAUAACACAGUUUCCCUUUUUUGUUUGGAUUGACACACCCCUUCAUUAACACACCCCUUCAUAAAGAGGUGUAUAUGGACAAUCAUCAUAUUAUAAAUAAGAGGGAUGUGAUUUGGAGGAGGAGACAUCAAUCCUAUUUACAUUCUCCAUCCAAUACAUAAAAAGUUCAACAUAGAAAUGCACUUUGGUCAUAAAAGUGAUGAAGUAAUCUUUCUCUUAAAGUUUUCAAGGUUUUACUCUUAUCUCUUGAGUUUAAGAAUAAGAGUGGUGAUGAUUUUAUACUCAUGAGAGAUAUCGUGUAACUCCGGGCUUAUAAGGGUUGAAGUACUUUUUUCGAAAAGUGGUAUUCAUGAUUCUAUUACGAUCCAAAAUCCCCCUUGGUUCUCUUAAACAUUGUUGUGCACGAAUAUCUCAACUUGAAUAUUAUAAAAAAUGAUUCUUAAAAUUGUAGGAAUUUAAAUAGUCCUUAUGACUCUCCUAUUUUAUAGGAACAUAAAUUAUUUUAUGUUCAAUUAACAAGAUUUCAUUUUUAGAAAAGCCUCACCAUUUUUCCAUACUCAUUGUUUACAUGAUAUCCCUAAAUUAACCCUAAAUAUGUUAAAGAGAAAUCAUUUCAUGAGAAUUAUUAAGAUUAAUAUUAUUACUACUUUUCAGUUAUAAUUGAAUAUGAUUGUUGUCCGAUUAGUAAUUACUAGGACUUAACUCAAUACUUUGAUAGAGGUACGGACCAGCUUCCAGAACGAUAUCUAAAUCGCUUGAACAAUUUAAAAAAAAGAAUGGAAUCCUAAAAGAAUUGGUUAAGAGCUUGCUCUUGUGACCCAUAUGAUCCACUUUACAAAAAUCUCAUUGUACUCCAAAAGCUUGUGGCAUUGGUCGUGUUUCAAACUUAGCCACUUGUUGGUUCUUUUUCAAAAGUUUCUCAAAUCUCGAAAGUUAAGCGAACGACGUUGUUUUGCACUAGACCGACAACUUAACCAAAUGAUGUUGGUUUACUGUGUUAGAUUGGCAGCUUCUUGAAUGGCGACAUAGACUAUCAUCCACAUCAUUUGGGUCAGUAUUGUUCGCAUGAUAUGUUGUCUCAUGGAUACGUUUUCCUAGAUAUUCAUGAAUUUCAUGAAUUAUGAAUGUGACCAGCUUUGCCUGCAUGAUAUAUUAUUCAAGGAUACAUCCUCCUUAAACAUCUACGAUUUUUACGAUUUAGGCAGUAGGGCUAGUUAGUUGAGGGACGCCCCACAAAACAUAAGUUAACCGAUUUUAACCAAAACCAAAAAAUCAUCCUUACUUAAAUACCACAUCAAAAUAUCAAAAUAAAUAAUAAAAUAAAUCUUUAUGUGGCGAUCCGUGAAAACUUUAUCCCCGUGGAUUUCAAUCGCCUUCAUGAGUUCCACUAUUGUUAGAGUCCUUCGGAGUGCUAGUCAAGCUUGAGGAACUGGUCGUGAUGUCAUGAUUAAACUUGGCGUCUUCAUGUUACCGGAGUGCACUGAGGUUGCGCCGGCGAUUAGGAGGAUUUGUGUUCGUCGACGUCUCGCUGGCGACAAAUCUUCGAGGAAAGUCGAAUCUCCAUCGAUGCUUCAGAUUCCAUUUGAUCCACAUACCCACGCGUCGUCUCCUAACGACCUCCACCUCUACAUCGCCGCCACAGUCACCAUAUCUCCAUCUGAUAUUAUUUCGGAGUUGCAUCUUUUGGAUGAUUAAGCCGAUUGCACUGAUCUCCCUACCGGUACAGAUUUCGACCGCCUUGCAGAAGGAUAGAAUAGUCAAGUUUAAUUAAUUGAUAUAUGCAUGUUGAUUCUUCCCCUACAUAUUGCAUUACCUUAAUUAUUGAGUGAGAUUUUGGUUCUAUAUUUUGGUCCAGCUAGAAGAGCGAUUAGUUGUGGUUCAACUUGAAUAUUCGACUUAUUUUAUUUGAUUCUUAAUAAGAUUAAUUCAUAUUAUGAUGAAGAACGGUUUGAGAAGAAGAAGAAGAGAAGAAAGAAAAAAAAUGAAUCAUUAUUGGUUGAAGAGAAGAAGAAAAAGAAAAAAUAGCACCCGUGAGAAGAUAGAGGAGCAUUUAAACUUUUUAUUUUUUUUAUUGUUUGAUUAUCAUAUUAUAAUAAUGAUAAUGUGAUAUUUUCUAUAGCAAUGUGACGUGGUACCAAUCAAACAAAUGUCACAUAAUUUUUAUUUAUUUUGUCAUUAUCAAUGUUAAAAAUAUAAUAAAAAAUUGUCUUACAAAAUCUAGCUUGAUUUGUCAAAAUCUUGAAAGUUUUAGCUAAUUUGGAGUAUUAGCCCUUUUGGAAAAAAAUAUUUAGGAUAUUAAGAAACUUUUUUUCAAUAUGUAUGAUAAUUAUUUUUAGUAGAAUUAUUUAUAAUUUUUUUUACUUUUGAUUAUAAAAUUCCUUGGUAAAAAUAACUUGGUAAAAGAGUUGUUUAAAUACUAUCAAGAAAGUGUAAUGUCGUUAUCAAAUUUUAAGUUUUUUUCCCGCUUAAGAGGGCAUUUUAGUAAAUUCAUUUAUUGUAAAGAUGUGGGUGUUAUAGAUCGGCCGGUUUGAGCGCGAUCCGCACAUGGGCUGAUAUCGAGUCGUCGGUUGAUGGAAAUGGUCGAAAUUGGGUGUUGACCCAGUUUGACCGGCAAACCAUCUGAUUGGACCUUGUUUGCUAACCCGUCGGUGGGACCACCACGACUAAAAUAAAUGACGCCGUUUUAUUAAAUAAAAAAUUUUAAAUUAUAAAAAUAUGAAAUUGAAAUUUGAGAGAAUCUUAGCUAACCCUAAAUCGCAAAAUCUAAAAUCAAUUCAACAAUCGUGUUCUUCUUUCAGUUCUUCGUGCGACGCAGUUGCUCCAACAAAUCGCUCGUCCAUCACCUUUUAAAAAUUGUCGGCUUUCAUCGUUGGUUGCCGACAAUUCCGACAGCUUCUCUCUUACAAGCAGACCCGGAAGUAAGCAGUUCUUCCUACUUCUAGUUGUCCCAUUUCAGCAUCUCUAAAAUCUUGACGGAAUGGUUCAACUGAAAUUGCUUGACGAAAUUUAUAAAAUGACUACUUCUUGAUUGCCCUUCUUCUUGCUGUUGUUGAUUUGUUGUAGACAUGCAGAGGGUACUAGAAAAGGGUGUUGAGAAAUGGCAUUCUUGGCCUUUUUUUCGCUAUUGUUCCAAUAAUAGGAACUUUGAAAUUAAAGAAUACUGUAUCUUCUGAAGCAGAAGCUCAAUCAUAGACAUUAUUUUAAUUUAGUGUUCGAGGAAAAAUUUACUCGUUACGAGAAUAUGCUAUGGAGAGCAAUGGAAAAUAUUGGAGCAUAAGAGGUUAAGCAAUUUGGUGUUUUUCCACUAUAGCAUGCGCUUACAACAUAUACAAAUACUCUUAUUAACAUUUGGCAUUGCAGCUUGAAUUAUUAACUGCCAGUUGCAGCUUAAACUAUGAAUUGUCAUUUACUUGAAUUGUCAUUAUUUUUAUUAGGAAGUAUUAUGAAAGUUAUAGCCCAUGUUAUUCAAUUGAUUCAACAGAUGAUUCAACAGUUGUAUAGGUUGAGGAAUCCACUCUAGAUUCUCAUAUCGAUUUUUUGAGAAAAAAAAUGAUUAUUCAAAUGUCGACUUUAAACUUGGAAUAAGUAGAGCUACCCAUGAAAAAAUUAGUAUCAUAGGCGUUCCUACAUGAUAAAUAUCAUGAUUUUCUUUCAAUUUUCAAAUUUUCUAUAUAUUGUGUUUAUCAAGAUGUUUGAAAUUUGUGCACUUGAUACUCUUUUUUGUGGUUCUAGUACAAUUUCAGACUCAUUCUUCAUUCUUAAGAGUUAGAGUAGGAUAAGUACAAACUGCAUCACCAAAUUAAGUGCUCUUCCUUAUGCAUCACCAAAUUAAUUACCUUCUGUGGAUGUUUCAAUCGUAGUUUUUUUUUGUAUAAACGGUUCAAUUAUGUUUUUCAAGCCUCUCAUUCUUUUGCAUUAAAUAAUUCAUAAUUUGUAUUGUAUGAUGUACUAUUUGAUUACUCUGGGUUUGCAGAUCUCAUGAGGAUUGGAUUUAAAUUGCUCGCCUAAAUUCUUUUGAACUAGUAAAAAGGUACUAUUUCAAUUUUGAUAUGAAAACAAUGUCCCAACUAAUUUAAUCUGUAAAACCCAGAGAAAUCCCACUAGUACUAAGAUCCAUGAGCCACUCCACUCCCUGGAUAAAUUCGCCUGGGGUGUACUGAACCGCAUCGUUCUUCCCAAUCACUUCAAAUCCCUUCCAAUUCACCCUCCCAGUGGUUAUGGCUCCGGCGCCGCGAUUUCUGUAUUCAGCGAACAACAAAGUGUCUAGGUAGAGAUCCCCAUCCCAAGGCAUCCACCCUUGAGGAUGGAUGACGCCUCCGAUCUCUGACUCCAUGACCACAGCCCUGGAGUAGGCCUUCCAUGGGCGGCCGAGGUACGAAAGAGGCGCCCCGAACUCUGAUCCGAUCCUACAAUUCUGGAUAACAAUCCCGGUUGUCUGGUGUCUGAUUACUCGUCCUUGGGCGAUUAUUGUGUUCCUUUGAUUGGGCAUGGGACGAUGCAGGAUGAUUAGUGAGUUUUGAAUAACAGCAGAGGCGUCGCCGAAAAUGAAAUCGAUAGUGCCGGAGAUGAUGCAGUUAUAGUAGAACUGACGAUGAGCGUGGCAGUAGAGGGAGUCUUGGUAGGCGUUGAUUGCACAGUCUAUGAAAGCCGAUUUAUCUCCUUGGACGCGGAGAGCCACUGCUUGGUACCCUUCUGGCCCUGCUGUGUUCCUGAAGCACAUUGACUUUGCUAUAAAACCUGAUCCCAACGCCUCUGCAAUAUCACGAAUAAAUAAUUGUCACCUUCUUCAAUCCAAAAAGGUAACGUGGUGAUAUUGUCAGAAAACUAAUGCAAAAAAGUGUGUGAUAAUAUCAUUUAAUAAUCAAUUCACCAUGCUUUAGGCUGAUAAUCGACCACCCAAAAAUUUAUGUGACGUCAGUAUUAUUCAAUAUGAUUCCCGUCAAAAGGGUGGGUUUUCUGUAUAAAAAAAUUAUUUAAUUGACAGAAAAUUAACUGACCAAAUGUGGCCGUUUUCAUUGUCCGGUAGCCCUGGCGGUUGCAUCUAUCUCCAGUAACAAUAGUGUGUUGGGCUCCAUCUCCAUACAUGAAUACAUUGCGGUGCUUCUUCCCAACAGUAACGUAUUCCUUGUAGACCCCUGCCUUGACAUAAAUCACAAAUAAUCCUCCAUUUCCAGUUGCAACUGGAUCCUUAUAAGCAGUCAGAGCAUCUGAAAUGGUCCUGAAAUCCCCGCUCCCAUCCUGCGCCACAACCACAUCCGGAUCCAAACUCCCAUCCCAAUAUCUUGCCAGCACCCUCCUACGCCUUUGAGACGACGUCCCCGUUGGAUCUGCCAGCAAUUUUCGACCUCUUGGUACCGGAAUGUCAUUAACAAUGGCGAGAGCAUUGCUCGUCAAUUGUGUUGCUUUCUCUAUCCCGGAUUUCAUAAUCGACUUGUACAAAUUGUUGUCCUCUCCAAAUUGAUCGAGGCAGGUCUGCUGAUAUGAAACCACAGCGCUUAGCCAGUUCUGUAGCUCCGAGACCACAUGUCCUUUUUUGCUUAUGCUCAUGUUUCCUAAUAAGGAAAGAGACUCUUGAAGCUCGAAAACGGAGUCCCCUAGGAGAUCUUUACAAUCUUCCAAUGCCAUCCUCGUGUAAUUGGUACUGGUUGCUGCAUUUUCAUGGCGAAUCUUGUGCAAUAGAGACGCGGAGAGGUUGAAGGAUCUCUUUGCGGCUUCCGUAGUGGCAAAUAUGGCAGCUUUGAUGAAUUCCUUGGGAUCAUCCGCUUUCUUCACUGUAUGUAGGGUCCUGUGGCAAGCCUGCUUGUAAUCGGCGGAGGCGCAGAUUUGAGUUAUUGUUUUCGACUUGGUGCUGUUAUACUUGUAUCCUGUAGCCAGGGUAUUGGAUGUGUUUAUGAGAAUUAGGGACAAUACUAGUGCUGAGCUGAUUUUUAAGUACAUCUUAUGUAGGUAUUCACUACUGCCUUUUAUUUCUUGUAUUCUCAUCCUAAUGGCUUUUAAACCUCAUAGGUUUCUUUAAAAUUUUGCUCACUAUUAGUACCGUCUCACUUUAUCCCUUGAUUUCUAAUUAUGGGAGUAGCGAGAGAUUGAUGGCGUAAUUAUUAUUAAAUAUGAGCAAAUUAGCAACUUUUUUUUUUAAAAAUGAAAAUGUAUGUAAAGGAAGUUUAGUGUACCACUGGAAAAUAAUUUCAAAGAAUAGUGAGUUUACAAAGAGACAGCGUAUUUGGUUCUCCACUUCUUUCGAAAGAUUUGACCAGAGAGCUUUGUGGAUCAAAUUGGAAAAGGACUCCGGUUUUCUAUUUGUAAAUNNNNNNNNNNNNNNNNNNNNNNNNNNNNNNNNNNNNNNNNNNNNNNNNNNNNNNNNNNNNNNNNNNNNNNNNNNNNNNNNNNNNNNNNNNNNNGGUUUUCUAUUUGUAAAUAAUUUUUCUUUUAAAAUUAUAGAGACGUAUUAAUAUGUAAUCACUUCCACUCACUUUUAAGGUUUUAACUCAAUCGUUAUAUAACUCUUUUCUUUUUCCUCUUAUAGUUUCAUAGCUUAAGAAAGUAAGGUACAUCCUAAAUUAAAGAUGAAGAUGUCAAUUUUAAUUCAUGAUUAUUCAUUCAAACUCAAAGUUGUGAAACAAGCUGAAAUUUAAANNNNNNNNNNNNNNNNNNNNNNNNNNNNNNNNNNNNNNNNNNNNNNNNNNNNNNNNNNNNNNNNNNNNNNNNNNNNNNNNNNNNNNNNNNNNNNNNNNNNNNNNNNNNNNNNNNNNNNNNNNNNNNNNNNNNNNNNNNNNNNNNNNNNNNNNNNNNNNNNNNNNNNNNNNNNNNNNNNNNNNNNNNNNNNNNNNNNNNNNNNNNNUCCAAUUAAUGGGCGUACAACUUUGUACAAGAGUCGUAUGAAUCAUAAAAAUGUGUAUAUGUUUAUACAAACUCAUAUAAAAGUUUAUACACAAUUGUUUACCCUCUCUCUCGCAUGAACCCGACCUUCUAGUUCGAGCUUCCUUGGUGUAAUAAGGCGCGUUGUUUUAAUUCUCUAAAUUUAUUGUGUUAGUAAAUGAAGUAGUUUCGUAACAAUUGUUUAUCAUUAAUAAAUAUAUGUUUAUCUUGUCUUAAAAUUGGUAUAUUAAUAUUGAAUUAAUUUAGUAGUUAGGUUGAACAUUGAAUGUGUAACAUCCCAGUUUUACCUUUUGAAACAAACGAAAAAUUGUCCUGGUACACAUGACACAGUUUUGUAAUAGUACAAAAUAAAAAUAAAAUUAUACAUAAACGAUACUGGUAACUUUUGCAGGAAAACUGAAAUAUUACGCCAAACAACUUAUUUCCAUAAGCUAGUGUCAAACAGUGAAUGGACCCAUCUUUUAAAACAAAUUCCAGAAAUAUACAGUCUCGUGAAUAUCCCAACUUCAGUCUGGCGGCAGAUGAACAGAUCCUCUAAUAAUUCUUCUAAUACCAUAUAACUUGUAACGCACUGGUGGUUGGCUCGGGGUCAGUCUUCCGAAGUUAUCAUAUAGAUAUCAAUGUUGAAAAUCAUUUAAAAGAUAACCAUAUAGCAUGUAAAGCACAUUGCACAACUCUUGACUCUACUUUGCAUAUUUUAAUUGGGAUCCCGGCUCACAUAUGCUGACGACCCAUAUACAUGUUAGUGGCACCAAAUCGGGCCGCAUAUAAUGGCGCCUACCAAGGCCCACGACGACAGUUAGUGUGGGAAGCCCACCACGUAGCUAUAUUGCAUUAAGCACGAUCGUCAACAUAUGGGCUCUAACUAGGUGAUCAAUCAAUACCAAUAUUACUCUUGUAACAGAACUUGUUCAACUGAACAAUUACAUGUAACAUAUCAUAUCAGCAAUAUAUCACUUAGGAUAUAAUAGAAUAUAUGGAUCACAUAUAAUUGACAUGUCACGUUGUCACAUAUAAUGCAUUUAAAACCUUUAAAAUCCAAUUAUUAUUCAUGUAAUUCAAAAAAGCAUAACUAACACAAGUAAAAAAUAAAUAUUUAAAAUGGAAGAUAUUACCCCCUUAAACCAACCCACCUGGAAUUAACCAGGUUAACUCAAAAUACGGUUAAACGUCCAAGAACAGAACAAUUGUGGCUUAACUCAACACUUUCGGGCCAAACUGCAAUAAUUUAAAAGUUACAGACUGUGUACAAAAAAUAAGAUAGUUUAGGUACUAAACUGGAAGUAUGAAAGUUCGGGGACUAAACUGGAUAUUUACCACACAGACGGGAAUUCAUUUUUCCAGUCAAAUUUCCAGAAUCCGGCUACGACGAACCCAAGCUCCGGUGAGCCUUGAAUCACCACUAAAACUCGAGCAAACUCAAAUCGAAGGAUAAGUAAGGUUUUAUCUCGAUAAUACGAAGUCAACCGAGGUAUUUAAAGGUCUUGGGUUGGUUUAGAAUUUGCCGAAUCGACGCAAGUCGACGUUGGAGACGAAAACGGAGAAGACGGGAACAAAAUUUCGGCCUCUCCGUUCAUUACUAGCUCUGGACGGCUUUAAAUAGCCAGGCGAUUUCCCACGAGCGACAGUUUGGUCUUGAUUCGAGGCAUAGACACAUGGAUUUGCAGUUCAAUCGCCGGAUACAAACAAAGGUCACCGAUGGAAUAGAUAAGGAAGACGAUGAAGAUGACCAGAUUCAUCCAUCAAAACGACGUCGUUUUAUGGUUGGUCUUGAUUCGAGGCAUAGACACAUGGAUUUGCAGUUCAAUCGCCGGAUACAAACAAAGGUCACCAAUGGAAUAGAUGAGGAAGACGAUGAAGAUGACCAGAUUCAUCCAUCAAAACGACAUCGUUUUAUGGCUGAGUGAAAGUGAACCUAAAAUUAAAACUAAAUGCUUCUCCUGGGAUUUGAACUUGAGUUAAUAGACUUGAGGACUGGUUGGUUAACCAGUUGAGCUACUAACAAAUCUAUGAUCAUUUUACAAACUGAUUAACUAUAGUUAAACCAUGUGAAACUUAAUGAGCUCAACCCCUUUGAUUAGCAAUUAAUUACACCAUUUUCAAAUAUAAUUAUUAUUAUCUAAUAUCGAUAUAAAUCUCUUUUUCUUUUACGGAUAGAUUAGAGACUUUUACAUAAAUAUUUUUGUAUUAGGGUCGGGGUAUUACAUUUCUCUCCUCCUUAAAAAGAUUUCGUCAUCGAAAUCAAAAUAAAACCACACAAAAUCUAAACACACAUAGAUUAAGUAACCACAAUUUAUUAAGGACGAGGAACUUGUAAACAACACCAUACAAUAAUUAGCCAGGCAAAAAGAUCAUGUUCUCCUUAUGUAAACAUCAGAUUGACUUCUACGAAUAGGUUCAAUUGGAAGAUUCUCUGGACGUCAUUGCUCUUUUAGAUAUGAUCAAGAUGAAGAAAAUGGCCACAAGCAGAAUAAAAUUCACCCCAAUCAAAGCUUUCGAGAAAUUAGAGAAAGCCAUUUUUUUCCUAAACAAGACUCAAGGUAGAAAAUUGAAACUUAAACUCGGAAUAAAUAGGAACUAUCUACUAGCAAUAAAUACCUAGAGAAGUCCAAUAAAUAACUUCUCAAUUCCAAAGAAAAGAGGUGCUGAGAAUGGGAUAAUUGCAUGUGCUCAUUAAUGCACCUCCUACUUUAUCCUCGUGUCGGGAACGUGAAAGAUGAACAAGGAGGGGAGACAUGAUUAAUGGUAGUCAAUAUUUGUCGAACUUUACAGAUCACUAGCAUACCUGUCAAGUACACCAAGAAAAAAAUUAUGUGAUCGGUGAGGUAACUUUUUAAAAGUCACACCUUCUUAGUCUUGUAUUUAAACCUAGGGAAUGCUGCACUUUACACAAAAAUAAAAUUCUCGUCAAGGGUUCUUCUAAAAUCAAUUACCGAAGGGAAAAUUCAGAUGGAGACCUCCAGGGGAACAAACAAAGGAAAGGGUACGAUUGUGACGCCACCUACAUGUACCUUACAACAUACUGGAGGAGCUGGAAAUACUACAGGUUAUUCUUAUCCUCCCGGUUUUUGUCCUUUUUGCGAAGCGAAGAAAUCCGAAUGGUUAAUCGAUAGCGGCUGUACUAAUCAUAUGUCUCCUAACGAAAAUAUUUUCUUUGGAAUUGAUUACAAUAUUAAUACUUCUAUUGCGGUGGGAGAUACCAAAUUAAAAGUCAAGGGCAAGGGUUCUGUCAUGAUAGGUCCACUCAUUAUUCAAGAUGAUCUACUGGUUCCCGGUAUCAAGAUGAGUUUUCUAAGCGUUGGCCAGCUCAUAGAGAAAGGAUUUUCUUUUCUCUUCAAAGGAAACUAUGGUGCAAUCUACGAUCCGAAUGGAAAUCUAUUUGUCCAAAUUCCAAAGUCGGGUAGGAUUUUCUACUUACUUUAACUUAUUCCCAUCAACCACAAAAUGUAAUACAAGGAACACCAAGGAGAAACUUCUACCGCUGUUUUCCAUGAAGGACAACCACAGAAAGAAGAGAGUAAUAGAGCUCCAGACAAGAGAUCAUGGAUCCAAAAGAGAAAAAGGAGGAAGAAGACUCCAGAACGAUGUUGUUAACCAGGGUAACAGAGAUUAUGCUAAAUAAAUCGCUUGUACUAUCGUCAAAUAAAUUGUAACCAUGUUUAUUAAUAAAAGCAAGUUCAGUUACCCACAAAGACUACUUGUUCAUUAGAAGACAAUCAAAGGGAACACCUUCGAAAACAUAACAACCAUUAGUAACUCAAAAACGGAAAAUACAACCUAUCAGAAAGACAACCUUUUCAUCUAUCACGUCGGCGCUUUUACUCAACCUCCUUGAGGGUUUCCUGGUAACGACGAUCAUCCUCACGGAGGCAUUGCCUCAUAAACCAAAAAAUGAACAAAAGGAAAGAGAUAACUAUAAACAUAAAAAUCUUCACAGUGAAGAGAGCUUCGGAGGAUUCCGUCAUUAUUUAGACGAGAAAAUGAAUUAAAACUUCAAUCUCUAAACAAAUUGAGAAAGGAAACUUCAAUGGCGUCGGAUGGGAAAAAGAAGAAGAUUGAGAGUUUAAGAAGAAGGUGGAGGUGAAGUGGGCACAAUAAUUGUGUCCUUCACUAUUACUCUGUCGGCAUAAAAAGACAAAACAAGAACCAAUCCUCUGUCGGUAUAAAAAGACAAAACAAGAACCAAUACCGAGAACCGGUUUGGUUGAAAUAUCAUCUGUCGUCCGCACCAAUAACCUUGACUUUGAAGAGGGACUUGAGACUGUUUUUAUGAAUCCAUGAUCCUUUUCAAAACUCUGAUUUGAAAUAAUCAAAAUCUCAAUUUGAAAACUCCGGGAUUAGUUGAUAUAAGAUCGAUCCUCUAGUAUUUCUUAGUAACCCAAGAAAUAAAAGAAGACCGGCUUUGAUACCAACUUGUAACAUCCCAGUUUUACCUUUUGAAACAAACGAAAAAUUGUCGCGAGACACAUGACACAGUUUUGUAAUAGUACAAAAUAAAAUUAAAAUUAUACAUAAACGAUACUUGUAACCUUUGUAGAAAAACUGGAAUAUUACGCCAAACAACUUAUUUCCAGAAGCUAGUGUCAUAUAGUGAAUGGACACAUCUUUUAAAACAAAUCCCAUAAAUAUGCAAUCUCAUCAAUAUCCCAACUUCAGCAGCGGCAGAUGAACAGAUCUUCUAAUAAUUCUUCUAAUACCAUAUAACCUGUAACGCACUGGUGGGUGGCUCGGGGUCAAUCUUCCGAAGUUAUCAUAUAGAUAUCAAUAUUGUAUAGUGCAUUAAGCACGAUCGUCAACAUAUGGGCUCUAACUAGGUGAUCAAUCAAUACUCAUAUUACUCUUGCAAUAUAACUUGUUCAGCUAAACAAUUAUAUGUAACAUAUCAUAUCAGAAAUAUAUCACUUAUAAUAUAAUAGAAUAUAUGGAUCACAUAUAAUUGACAUGUCACGUUGUCACAUAUAAUGCAUUUAAAACCUUUAAAAUCCAAUUAUUAUUCAUGUAAUUCAAAAAAGCAUAACUAAAACAAGUAAAAAAUAAAUAUUUAAAAUGGAAGAUAUUAUCCCCUUAAACCAACCCACCUGGAAUUAACCAGGUUAACUCAAAAUACGGUUAAACGUCCAAGAACAGAAUAAUUGUGGCUUAACUCAAUAAUUGUGGCUUAACUUUCGGGCCAAACUGCAAUAAUUUAAAAGUUACAGACUGCGUAGAAAAAUUAAGAUAGUUUAGGUACUAAAGUGGAAGUAUGAAAAUUCAGGGACUAAACUGGAUAUUUACCACACAGACGGGAAUUCAUUUUUCUAGUCAAAUUUCCAGAAUCCGGCUACGACGAACCCAAGCUCCGGUGAGCCUUGAAUCACCACUAAAACUCGAGCAAACUCAAAUCGAAGGAUAAGUAAGGUUUUAUCUCGAUAAUACGAAGUCAACCGAGGUAUUUAAAGGUCUUGGGUUGGUUUAGAAUUUGCCGACGCAAGUUGACGUCAGAGAAGAAAACGGAGAAGACGGGAACAAAAUUUCGGUCUCGUCCGUUCAAUACUAGCUCUGGACGGCUUUAAAUAGCUAGACGAUUUCCCACGAGCGACAGUUUGGUCUUGAUUCGAGGCAUAAACACAUGGAUUUGCAGUUCAAUCGCCGGAUACAAACAAAGGUCACCGAUGGAAUAGAUAAGGAAGACAAUGAAGAUGACCAGAUUCAUCCAUCAAAACGACGUCGUUUUAUGGCUGAGUGAAAAUGAACCUAAAAUUAAAACUAAAUGCUUCUCCUGGGAUAUGAACUCGGGUCAAUAGACUUGAGAACUAGUUGGUUAACCAAUUGAGCUACUAACAAAUCUAUGAUCAUUUUACAAACUGAUUAACUAUAGUUAAACCAUGUAUCACUUAAUGAGCUCAAUCCCUUUGAUUAAUAAUUAAUUACACCAUUUUCAAAUAUAAUUAUUACUAUUAUUUAAUAUCGGUAUAAAUUCCCUUUUUUACGGAUAGAUUAGAGACUUUUAUAUAAAUAUUUUUGUAUUAGGGUCGGGGUAUUACAGAAUGCAUAAUACAUUGAAAUGUAAGUUAUUUGAUUUGAGAUACUUAUUGUUUAUUAUUGAUUGUCUUAACGUAACUACUAUAAUAGUAAAUUAGUUGCUUUUCAAAUGGAUAAGUUUUAGAUUAAAAUGCAUCAUUUUUUAUGACUAUAUAAUCGGGUUUGAAUUUUUUUUUUUAUUUUUUNNNNNNNNNNNNNNNNNNNNNNNNNNNNNNNNNNNNNNNNNNNNNNNNNNNNNNNNNNNNNNNNNNNNNNNNNNNNNNNNNNNNNNNNNNNNNNNNNNNNNNGAUGAUGUAUACGUACAUCUCAUCCGUAAGCAAUAAUUUUCAUAGGGUAACACUUUUCAGAGUCGAUAUGGAGAGUUGGAUAUUGGACAAUCAUCUCACAAUGCUACAAUUCAAAUCGAGGUCAAUGCAUUAGUAUUUAUAGUGGAGAAUCCAGAAACUAAGCAUCAUGAUCAUAUUGUAAUUCUUUCUACCGAAGUAUUGAGUUGUGGUAUGCCUGACAAUUCUGAAGUGCCUAUGAAUGAUUAUGUCGACCCAUCUAGUUUCAACCCAUAAUGAAAUGAUGUUAACAUCGAUAUCAUCCAACAAAUGAAAGAUAAUGAUGAACCUUUGUAUGAGAUAGCGCCUAACAACCUUUGUAUGAGAGAGCGCCUAACAAGUCCUCCAAACUCUCAUUUAUUUUGAGACUAUAUCACAUCAAGUAAAUAUACAAUAUUAACGACGUCAAGGCAAUGACAAUGUUGAUUGAGUUGUUGCAUGUAACAUUUUAAUUUGCCAAGAUAUCCUCGUCCAGAUUUGUUGCGAAGAAGAUUAUAAAAUCUUUUGGGUUGGGAUAUAUUAAAAUACAUCCAUGUGAGAAUGAUUGCAUGUUAUAUUGGGGAGAUAACAUCAAUGAAGAAGUUCGCAAAGUUUGUAAAAACUGUAGAUACAAGGACGGUGAGAAUGAAGAAUUGGUUGAAGGAAAGAAAAAAAGACACAAAAAGAAGAUAUUUUGCUACUUUCCUUUGAUUUCAAAAUUGAAAAGACUAUUUAUGUCUAAAAAUUAUUGAGAGUAUGGUAUGACAUUCUAAAGAGAAGAACAAUGAUGUCAAUGGCUAGGUUUGCCAUAUAUAUCCGCUAACCAGAUAACCGCCCGUCCCCGAUCUAGUUUGACAGGUGAAUUUCCGUUUGGUCGGAUUAGUGCUCGGGUACGGGUUGACCCGUCGCUCAAAUGGUCUGGGCCCGUGUAGGGUUUCGGGAAGCCCAUAUCCACCUCAAAGCCUCGAACUUAAUAAUUGUACCCCAAAAUAAGUAGGGUUUUCAGAAAUAAUACACCAGUCCAAUUCCUCUCAUCACUCCGCUUCAAAUUCCAAUGUAGAGGAUUCCAUUCUUCCAUCCCUUUAGCCGCCAUCCAUCUAUUCGACUUCCAAUUUUCUUUUCCAACUUUCAAGAUGAAUUUCAUAUUGAUGGUUGUUUCUAAGAGGGGCGACGAAUAUGGAAUUUUGAAUCAAAUUCUCAUUCUUCAUCUUCUCAUCUAUUUUCGUUUUCGUGUAAAUAUUGACCUAAUUUAGGAUUCCUGAUUUUAAGACUCGCAAUCUUCUCAAUCAUCAUUUGCAGCUCCUCUAAUAUUUUUAAUCAUCAUCUACAAGUCCUUUAAUCUUCUCAAUCAUCAUCUAUAGAUCCUUUAAUCUUCUCAAUUUAUGUGCUAUUGAGUUCUGUAAUUUUUUUGCAAUUUGUAACACAGUUUGCUGCUUGAUCGAAUAAUUUUGCAAGCAUAUGAAUUAUUUCAAUUUUUUUUAGUAAUUGUGACGGGCUUUACCAGUUAACCCGGUGAAGGCGGACGGGUUUGAAAUUAACCCCGUUUGGGCUCUUGGGUGGGGGUUUUGAAAACCAGGAAGUAUGAUUGGGUGGGGAUCGGGGGCUCAGAAUCCAUACCAGCCCAUACCUGUUACCAAGGCUAGCAGUGGCGCGGAGCUAUGUACACCACUGGGGGAUGCGUGCAGCCCCUUGACUGGGGAAUGAAAACUUGUAUUAAUUUGUAAAAAAUGAAGGUUUCACUUUGAGAGCAGCGCUGAUGCGGACAAUUAGCAAUUUUCCAAGAUUAAACAUGUUAUAUGGCCAAAGCACUUAUGCAAUGCAAGGUUGUUCCACUUGUAAUUUUGAUUAGGAAUCUAUGCAUUUGGAAAGUAGUCUGAAGAGUUUUUUUAUUGGCUAGUAGAUAGUUCUUGCCCAUGAUACAUCAUUUUUGACACCAUAAAAAUCUAGAUUUAAUGGUAAAGUUAUCUUGAGCAUAGGGGACCAACCAAACUAUUAUUAGGAUCUUAAAUAUUAAAGCAAAUCGAAAAUAUUAAUAUCACAUUUGGGAUGGUUAAAGAGACAAAAUAGGUUGCAUCUCCUAGAAAGAAGAGAGCACUUGGAAGUGAAAACGUUGGAGGGAAAAAAGGUUGAACAAUGAAAAAAGAAAAGUUGCUUCAGUCAACUUCCUUAUUUGGGGUUCAAUAUGCUUUGACUCAAUCUUGAUGUUAUGCAUAUUAAAAAGAUUGUAUGUGAUAAUGUUCUAUAUACUCUAUUGAAUGAAAAGGAUCGAUGCAAAGAUCAUUUGAAAGUACAACUUGAUUUGAUGACUAUGGGAAUUAUAAAAGAAUUAUGGCCAAAAAAUGUUGGGAAGCCAUGCCCUGCUGCUUGGUAUACCUUAGGCAAACAAAAAAUAAAAGUUGUGCUUAAGACUUUAAAGGAUAUUGUCGUAUCCGAUGAAUACUCAAGUAACAUAUAAAGAUGUGUUGAUGUGGAAUAUGUUGAUGUGGAAUAAUGAAAUGUAAUAGGAUUGAAAACUCAUGAUUGGGACAUCUUGAUACAUGAACUAUUACCAUUGGUAAUUUGAAAUGUAUUACCUACUCAAGCAUAUUCGAUCUUAGUUAGAUUUUGUUCUUGCUUGAAACAAUUGUGUGCAAAAAGUUGUACAUAUGGAUGGGCUAAACAAAUGGCAAGAACAUAUAGUUGUAGCUUUGUAUCGGUAGGAGAUGUUAUUCCCCAUCUUUCUUCACUGUGAUGGUUCAUCUUGUAGUCCAUUUGGUCAAAAAGGUUAAACUCGAUGGACCAGUAUAUUAUCGAUCGAUGCAUACCAUUGAAAGGUAAUACAUCAAUCUCUUUUCCAAAAUUCUAAGUGCUUGAUUUUGUUUAAUAAAAUUCUUACUCUUUGUAUCCAGAUUUUUAGGCAAAUUGAAAUAAUUUGUGCGGGAUAGACCAUAACCAGAAGAUUCUAUUGCCGAAGUUUGGAUUUCUGAAGAAAUCUUCACCUAUACAUUAUUGUAUUUUAAAGUUGCAAUUGAGACAAUUUGACCAUGAAUCUCGAGUCUAUGGUGUAGUUGUUGAAAAAUCGCCUGAUGCAUUUAGCUUCCAUUAGAUUGGAAUUUUUUUUGGUGGUGUACAUAAUAUUACUUUAUUUGAUAUGGAAAUCUUUCAAGGGAACUAACAUGUUCUAAUCAUCUGCAACCAAGUUGUUUUCUAAAGUAAGUUCCAUGCUUCUAAUUUCUUCUACACAUUUUGGUAUAUCUUUCAAUAAUUGAUUGUUCAAUCUCAUUGACUAUCAGGGAUCCUUGUACUAUAAUUAAAGGUCUUCAUAGAAAAACACAUCUACAUUGGACAAAUAUAUCCAUAAAGAUUUUGUUAGUUGGUUCAGAAACCGAGUAAAUAAUCAAAUACUUGUGCUUUAUGUAGAAGUUUCUUAGAAUUCUCUAAUCACAUAUUUAUAUAUGUACAACUAGAUACUAAAUAUUCAAUAUGAUGAAGCAUAUUCAAAUGAUCCCAUUGUGUUGCCUCGAGGUCCUCAACAACAACCAAGAAGAUUUAGUGCUUAUGGUGACAAUAGUUAUUGAAUUUUUACACUUGCACGUGAAAAGUUCUCAAAGACUCAAAAUAGUGGAGUGUUUGGCAGCUAUGGAACCCAGAGUUAUGCAAGCCCGAUGGAUAAUCGACCUGUUGCAGGAGAGGUGUCAUAUUAUGGGAAAUUGGUUGAUAUUAUAAAGGUGAAUUACUAUGGAGAAUUCAUUUGAAAGUACAACUUGAUUUGAUGACUAUGGGAAUUAUAAAAGAAUUAUGGCCAAAAAAUGUUGGGAAGCCAUGCCCUGCUGCUUGGUAUACCUUAGGCAAACAAAAAAUAAAAGUUGUGCUUAAGACUUUAAAGGAUAUUGUCGUAUCCGAUGAAUACUCAAGUAACAUAUAUAGAUGGUUCAAAGAUAAAACCUAGAUACCGAAGUAAUUAGAGUCAAUUUCCCUAGGGCUUCAAAGAUGCAUUUACUCAAAGUGGUGUAAAGUGCUAAUCGUAAGUAACCGAGUUAUGGUAUGAGUUUUACGAUUUCUAAAACUAUCAAUUAAACUAAAUUUGCAAAUGAUAGGGAAAACAAAGAUCGCAAGUCUGCAUGGAAAAUUGUGGAGAAAAAAAUGAUAGUUAAAACUGCUUAGAUUUUGAAUCCGCUAGGCUAUCCAGACAAACAAACGAAAGAUACAAAUAAUUCACGGUCGCAUUUUUUCUCUACUUAGGUCACACCUUUUCAAAAACUGCUAACCUACUACUAACCCUUUCUUAGUAAGCUCUGUCGAGCCAAAAAUCCAAAACCUGUACGGUUAUAAAUCAAACAACAAUUACACUCAAGAUGGACUAGUCUAACUAGCCUCUUCUUAAGAGAUAUGACUAACCUAGUUGAUUGAUUUGGUGUUCUAAGAUAACAAAACUCUUUUGAGUCGAUAUAAAUCUAACAAGAACCUAUUGAAGCCGGCUUGGUAAGAAGAAGAACCUAAUCGAAAUAAAUUAUAGAUUAAAAUCCAUCCAACUCGCAUAAAUUGAAAUAAUCAAACACUUAUCUGUUCAUAAAGACUCAUCUAGGGUUCAUCUAAUAUAAGAAAGGGGAAUUUAGCUACUCACUAUCAUGAAGAAAAAACUGAAAUCAA
rnacentral:lncRNA from 1 species